AGGGGGUUCUCUCUUCUUCUUCCUUCUCCUUCCUGGACACCAUUUUUAUUCUUUCUGCAACUCUUGCCUGAAUAUACUACCCUGAGCCAUAAAAUCUGACUUGAGCGUUGGAGGGCCUACACCGGGGCACCCCCCGGUAGGCCCCUGACCAUUCUUUCUUAUUUUACAGGUCCCUUCACCAGAUAGAACAUGGAGAGACCCGUUAGAGAGCCCAGCAAGAAGGGACCCAGAAGAAAACCAGAUCUAUCAUGGACCAGGAGGAGGAAAAGAUUUAUCA
rnacentral:lncRNA from 1 species